AGAACGAACGCUGGCGGCAGGCUUAACACAUGCAAGUCGAGCGCCCCGCAAGGGGAGCGGCAGACGGGUGAGUAACGCGUGGGAACAUACCCUCCGGUUCGGAAUAGCUCAGGGAAACUUGGAUUAAUACCGGAUACGGUCGAGAGGCGAAAGAUUUAUCGCCGGAGGAUUGGCCCGCGUUCGAUUAGCUAGUUGGUGAGGUAACGGCUCACCAAGGCGACGAUCGAUAGCUGGUCUGAGAGGAUGAUCAGCCACAUUGGGACUGAGACACGGCCCAAACUCCUACGGGAGGCAGCAGUGGGGAAUAUUGGACAAUGGCGCAAGCCUGAUCCAGCCAUGCCGCGUGAGUGAUGACGGCCUUAGGGUUGUAAAGCUCUUUCGCUAGGGACGAUAAUGACGGUACCUAGACAAGAAGCCCGGCUAACUUCGUGCCAGCAGCCGAC
rnacentral:rRNA from 1 species